AUAAAUAUGUUGGCAUGAUUCAACGGUGUCACUCUAGCAAUGCAAACAGCUGGAGUCACUCCAUGUCCUCACAUCUGCAGACCAUUUUGGGGUUUUAAACCCUGCAGUGCAUCUGUUUGCCCACUAAGUGUCCCUGUUACAGUGAACUCAGAGAGCGUCUGGGUUUGUGCCCGAUGAAACAGAGGGACUCUGUCUGAGGAGAAUAUAAAUACUGACAGGUGUGGAUAUGGGAGGAGAGGCCUGUAAUGAGCACGGCUGCCCUCUGAUUGGUCGUCGGCGGUGGGCAGGGCCGCCAUCACACCUACGUUUGUGUUUGUUUCGAAUGGAACAUUAUAUCCAGGCUCGUGGUUACGCAACGGCUCCUGAGGCACCGCUAAUAGGAGAAUGCUGCAACACUGUUGCGCUGUGAAGCUCCAGGAAACUUCACCCGCCUUUCGAUCAUUAUAUGGCGAUCAGUGUUGUGGUGUGGAUGACUGGAAAAAGAGCAGGUGCUGCUGCUGACCUGUG